rnacentral:rRNA from 1 species
AGCAGCCGCGGUAAUUCCAGCUCCAAUAGCGUAUAUUAAAGUUGUUGCAGUUAAAAAGCUCGUAGUUGAGUUUCGGGGUUAGUAGGUUGGUCAUGCCUCUGGUAUGUACUGGUCUCACUGAUUCCUCCUUCCUGAUGAGCCGUAAUGCCAUUAAUUUGGUGUUGCGGGGAAUUUGGACUGUUACUUUGAAAAAAUUAGAGUGUUUAAAGCAAGCUAACGCUUGAAUACAUUAGCAUGGAAUAAUGAAAUAGGACGUUCGAUCCUAUUUUGUUGGUUUCUAGGAUUGACGUAAUGAUUAAUAGGGAUAGUUGGGGGCAUUAGUAUUCAAUUGUCAGAGGUGAAAUUCUUGGAUUUAUUGAAGACUAACUACUGCGAAAGCAUUUGCCAAGGAUGUUUUCAUUAAUCAAGAACGAAAGUUAGGGGAUCGAAGACGAUCAGAUACCGUCGUAGUCUUAACCAUAAACUAUGCGACUAG